GCAGUCGUGGCUGAGUGGUUAAGGCGAUGGACUUGAAAUCCAUUGGGAUAUUCCCUCGUAGGUUCGAAUCCUACCGACUGCG
rnacentral:tRNA from 1 species